rnacentral:ncRNA from 1 species
AACAAGCCAUAAAAUUUCACAUCAAGUAUGAGUGGUGGUGCACGGCUGUUCUUAGUUGAUAGGAGCGAUUUGUUUUGUUAAUUUUGUUAAUGAAUGAGAAAUCAGCCUGCUAACUAUCUAUGUGGAGGUAUUCCUUCUCGUCCAACUUCUUAGAGGUACUACAACCUUUUAGGCUAUGAAAGUAUGAGACAGUAAUAGGUCUGUGAUGCCCUUAGAUGUU